GCAUAUCAAUAAGCGGAGGAAAAGAAACCAACCGGGAUUGCCUCAGUAACGGCGAGUGAAGCGGCAAGAGCUCAAAUUUGAAAGCUGGCUCCUUCGGGGUCCGCAUUGUAAUUUGCAGAGGAUGCUUCGGGUGCAGCCCCCGUCUAAGUGCCCUGGAACGGGCCGUCAUAGAGGGUGAGAAUCCCGUAUGGGGCGGGGUGUCUGCGUCCGUGUGAAGCUCCUUCGACGAGUCGAGUUGUUUGGGAAUGCAGCUCUAAAUGGGUGGUAAAUUUCAUCUAAAGCUAAAUACUGGCCGGAGACCGAUAGCGCACAAGUAGAGUGAUCGAAAGAUGAAAAGCACUUUGAAAAGAGAGUUAAACAGCACGUGAAAUUGUUGAAAGGGAAGCGCUUGCAACCAGACUCGCUCGCGGGGUUCAGCCGGGCUUCGGCCCGGUGUACUUCCCCGCGGGCGGGCCAGCGUCGGUUUGGGCGGCCGGUCAAAGGCCUCCGGAAUGUAGCGCCCUUCGGGGCGCCUUAUAGCCGGGGGUGCAAUGCGGCCAGCCUGGACCGAGGAACGCGCUUCGGCACGGACGCUGGCAUAAUGGUUGUAAACGACCCGUCUUGAAACACGGACCAAGGAGUCUAACAUCUACGCGAGUGUUCGGGUGUCAAACCCGUACGCGCAGUGAAAGCGAACGGAGGUGGGAGCCCCCUCGCGGGGCGCACCAUCGACCGAUCCUGAUGUCUUCGGAUGGAUUUGAGUACGAGCGUAGCUGUGGGGACCCGAAAGAUGGUGAACUAUGCCUGAAUAGGGCGAAGCCAGAGGAAACUCUGGUGGAGGCUCGCAGCGGUUCUGACGUGCAAAUCGAUCGUCAAAUUUGGGUAUAGGGGCGAAAGACUAAUCGAACCAUCUGGUAGCUGGUUCCUGCC
rnacentral:rRNA from 1 species